rnacentral:lncRNA from 1 species
AUGUACUUCUGCAUCCUCUCCAUGAUUACAACUCCUGACCCAGGGAGGCUGGAGGUAGAAACAGGUAAUACAGGCAAGCUGCACUUUACAGCCUGCAAGGUGAUGUUCGGGGAUGGAUCCUGCACAGGUGUGUCCCUCACUGCACUUUACAGCCUGCAAGGUGAUGUUCAGGGAUGGAUCCUGCACAGGUGUGUCCCUCACUGCCUGUCCCAGGGCAGAGUGCUGAUCCUGCUCUCAGGCAGGACCAGUGGGUGCUGGAGGGCAAGGCAGUGUGUGGAGCCUCAAAGGCAAAGCAGCAGGUGGCUGUCACCCCUCAGCCACCCCCAGCCCUCCUCAGGGGGUGGCAGUGGGUGCUGUUAGAGUGUUCCACCCCCAGUCCCCGACUGGCAACACAGGCUUGUGGUGCUGACAGCUUCCUGAGCUACCCAGAUCUGUACAUACAUCCCUGUCAGCUUCUUGGCUCUUUUUAAGAGAAGAACCAUUGUUCUUUUAGAAAAAUAGAAAUUUGCUGUUAAUUGCUUGGUUAUUGUUUCUACUACAGGAGUUGAUUUAACAACCAAAAUUGCUGAUAGCUUUAUGUGGUAAAAGCCAGAAAAACUUGUUCGGUAUCUAUAUGGUUUCUCAUGCCACAGAUUGCUGUAUGCAAAGGAUUUAUAUGGCUAUUAAAAUCUAGUGAUUUAAGGAGUCCAUGGUGCAGUGACUUUUUUUUCCCUUGAAGAAGGUGGCUGUGGUGUGGGAUGAUACAGGGGUCUUGCUCUGCUGCUUCUUUCCUCCCCACAUUUCUGGGAGAUGCAGGUUUUGGCUCAAUCUUGCUCUGCUGCUUCUUUCCUUCCCACAUUUCUGGGAGAUGCAGGUUUUGGCUCAAGGAAUAUUUCAUAAUGGAAAGAGAGAUGUUGAAGACCCAGAAGGUUCAAGUCUCGUUUCUUCAAUAACAAGAAACAUUUUCCUUUUUUUCAUUUUAUUUGGAGGAGGUGGCACCAAACACUCAAGAAGGAAAACAAAACUUCAGGGGGCAAGGGAAUUAGGUUUUAAGCACCAAGAUUCCUCUUAAAACCCUUGCAAGCAUGUUAAAUACCAAUUUCAUCUAUUAUUGGAAGCCUUACUAAAUUCAUACACUGUGCUAGGAGUAGCAUUACAUCAAUUUACAGGAAAAGUAUUUGCCUUUCCCCUUUCUCCAGAAGGCUCUUGAGGCUCAGCAGCUGCACUGGUUGCCAGAUGAGAUGCAGGGUGGGCUAAGGAGCAUCUUCCUGGUUUCUGAUCCCCCUGCCAUGUCCUGCCACUGCUCCACUGCUGCAGCGAUGCAUGCAUCAAGGUGACCCUAUUAAUGACCACAGCACAGAGGUGGGAGGGGGCUUCUCCCCACGGGUAGGGGCUGAGGUUGGGUUGGUUCAGGGCAUCUGCCUCACAUGUUGCAGCCCCUUGUAGUUCAGCAAUAAAAACCCUCAGGUCUGUAUUGGAGGGGGCCAGACUGGCCCCACAGCAGCUGAGCCUAACGGAGGCCGGGAUGAAAAGCUGCCUGCACCUGCAAACACACCUGGCUGCUGCUCCCAUUAACCCUCAUUUCCUGCUGGCAGCCAGAAAAGCCCUACACCAAACAAGGCUCCCUCCCUUGAUUUUGGCUGCUGUCCCCUUGGCACUGAGUCCCCAGUGAGCUCUGGUCACCAUCCAUUUGGUUAUGGGAAGGGGCAGAGACUUCAGCUCCUCCUGGUGGGUUUUUGAGUCUUGAGGGCAGAACUGAUGGAAUCAUGAGGAAACUCCUGGAUCCCAGUUGUUGCAAGCCCAGGGAACCUGCACACAGCCUGAGCAGCCUGGUGUGUCAGGAGGAGGGGGUGUGUUUUUGAUUUGUUGCCCCAUGUGUAAGUAUGGCUUUCCUUGUGCCCAUGUGGCUAAGCCAGGCCUGUGCUGGGGCUGGGCUGGGUCAUGAGGCUCAUGGAGGUAAAGGUUCAGGAAAAGCUAAGUCCUAGGUUGUUGUGAGUCUUGAUAAGGCUGUUGCACUGUAUCCUGAAAAGAGGCUUCAAAACAAAAUAGGGCUGGCUUGAAAUAAAUCUAAUACUGCCUCUGAGCAAGCUGUUUUGCUGCUGAGCAUCCAAGCCUGUGGUGGUACCUGCUGCUGGAGUGUCACUGGGAGCAGGAGGGACAGAGCUGGUGGCAACCAAGUGCCCGGGUACUUGGUGUGUGCCCAGUUGAUGCUGAAAGGGAAAAUGUGAUGGCCUUGAAACAUUCAGAGAAACCUGUUCCACAUAGCUGCAGACAGAUUCUUGUCUGCAGUGGAAAAUCACCUUUCUCCCUUUUUCUCCAGCAAAGCAGAUUAGCAUUUGCUGCCUGGUGAGAGGGUUUCACCAGCACAGGUCUGCACAGAGCAUCCUCUGAAGGCAGAGUGAUGCUUGGGGGAUCUGGCACUAUGGUUUGGGUUCUGUUGUGGGUGUUUCCCACUCCAGCAGGCCACCAUCCAGCUGAACCUUCUCCUGACCCAAUGUGUGUCACAUUCCUCUUAGACACAUUAUUUUUGCCAUGGAAGCCUGGAUGGGAGUGCCCUGGAGCAUGGCUGCCCUCACCCACUGCAGAGCCCCAAACCCUGUCCCUGCAGUGAUGGAGGCACAUGUUCCCUGUGGCCUGUGGCUGCCUUGUGACCUGCCAGGACCCUCUAGCUGAGACUCGCAGCGAAUGCAAGAGAAAACAUACAGGAUCUGGCAGGGGGCUCAGGUUUGGUUGUUUUUCCUUCUGGGAGGCCGUUUUCCGAACAGGAGCCUCUUGUGGGUGGUUUGGGAUUGUUCAUUAAACACUCUGAGCAGCUGGUAUCAGUGACCUGUCCGUGUCACUGCCAGCCCGACAGCGCUGCCUGCCUGUUGCCUCUGCCCGCAGCCCCAGACACGGACAGCAAACCGCCUUUUGUGCGGAGAAGACAGGCUCCUAGGUUGGUAUGAACCGUGCUAAGGCUGUUUCACUACAUCCUGGAAAGAGGCUCCAAAACACAACAGGGCUGGCUUGAAAAACUAAUCUAAUACAGCUUCUAAGCAAGCUGUUUUGCUGCUGAGCAUCCAGGUCAGCGGUGGGAGCAAACAGCCACGAGCAGGGUGCGGUGACAAAGUGGCUCUGGAGGCUGCCAGGAGUCAGCACACAGCAGGCAGUGCCAUCUCACCCCCCUCAGAACCCCACUCUUUCCCAGAAAGCUUAGUUUCGCUCUGGAGAGCAGGACCCACACCCUGGUGUGCUGCUCUAUUGAUUUUGUUUGUUUUGUUGUGUUCCAGGAAAGCAGCACAGGCGCUGGGUGAGUGGGCAGGUUUCUGGCAGCAGUUUCUGGGAUUUGUGCUUCCCGUGGGUUUGCAGUUUUCCUUGGCCUGGGCUCUGGCUCACCUCUGUGCAGGUGAACUGCAUUCCUGGGUGGAUAACACUAAGUCUUCUCAAGGGACAGGUGCAUUCAGCUGCAGGGGAGGCUUCACUGAGAUCUGCCACGGCCUCUUCCUUUGCUAUCCGAACAUUGGGAAUGCCCAGGAGAGCUUGAGUACCUGGUCAGUGUCUGUCUGUGCACUGGAGCCAUUUCAUGGGAUCGUAGUAGUGUAAAGCUGGGAGAAAUCCUCAGAGACCAGCCCUAGAUCAUCUUCUGCAUGAGCCCUGAAUGUUCCCACUGGUCUUGGACACUCCACCACAGCUCCCCAGGAGCUGACGGGCUCAGAGGGCAUCUUAAUGAAUAGCCUGAAACUGAUGAAAUUUAAGCUUAUUACUUCUCUUGUUCCCAUCAGAUGCUGGCAGAGUGUUCACUGGCCCCUGCAGCUCCCUCUUUCGUGUUCACAGAUCUCCUGUGUCCAGAAUAAAACCCUGCAGGCUUUGCCAGCUGCUCCUGUACCUGGAUGGAUAAUUCAGGCAGCUGGGCACAAGGUCUGGGCUUACGCUUCGCUGGGUUCAAACAGCGGGUAUCUUGUGACAGUGUUUUAAGGGCAAACACCCCAGCCAGUUUGGUUUAAAAUAAAUAAACACCCCCUCCACCACCCCAAAUGAGGUGGCUCAGCCUAUGAGUCACCCUUUCCUGCAACCUUGAUCCCCAACCUGCUUUUGCACACUGGUUAUUAAUACCUGGAAGCAGAAUACUGCAUAAGCCUUUCCAAAACUACAUCCUCCUUUGCCCACCUCUUUUUUUUUUACCUAUUUGCCAAGAUCAUCUGUAUUCUACCACAGCCCUCCAGCACAUCCCCUUGGGGCAGUCUCAGGUGAGGCACUGAUGGAGCUGUGGAGAAUCUCCCACUGUCUCCUCCUCUUCCACAGGGAACCACAGGUAACUAAUGAAAAAAAGAAUUUUACUGCGUGUUUUGCAGCCAUCUUUUGUGCUGAGUUAAUAUUGAGUUUCUUUAUUUUUCCAGAGGGAAUGACGAAGUGUUGCUGAGCAAAAACCCUGCUAAAGAAAUACAGUCCUUGCUGCACUCUCUGCUUCUGGGGCCUGUUGCCAUAUUGCAAAAGAAAAUUGAUUUGGAGUAACAUGACUAAUUCUUGUUA